UACGGAGGGUGCAAGCGUUAAUCGGAAUUACUGGGCGUAAAGCGCGCGUAGGCGGCGGGCUCAGUCAGAUGUGAAAGCCCCGGGCUUAACCUGGGAAUGGCAUUUGAUACUGGUCGGCUAGAGUCUGGGAGAGGGAAGGGGAAUUCCGGGUGUAGCGGUGAAAUGCGUAGAUAUCCGGAGGAACACCAGUGGCGAAGGCGCCUUCCUGGCCUAAGACUGACGCUGAGGUGCGAAAGCGUGGGGAGCAAACAGG
rnacentral:misc_RNA from 1 species